ensembl:lncRNA
GCUGUGUCUUCCUGGUGGGUCCGAGGAGCAUCGUGUUUCCUGUCAAGCAUACAUGCGCUCUUUUCUUGCCAUCCCCCCCCUGACCUGGGCAGCUCCUACUCAUCCUUCGGUGCUCAUUGUUCUUUGAGGACUUCCCUGCCAUGCGUUCCUGACACCCCUUCACGACUGCCUUGGAAUUGACCGUGGUUUGCUCAGCGUCUGUCUUCAGCACAGUAUUAUCUAAGAACCCCAUGGCAGAAAGAGAAGACAAAUACCAUAUGAUAUCACUUAUACGCGGGAUCUGAAACAUAGCACAAAUGAUCCUACCUAUAAAGCAGAAAGAGAUCACAGACAUGGAGAGCAGAC